UACGUAGGGUGCAAGCGUUGUCCGGAAUUAUUGGGCGUAAAGAGCUCGUAGGCGGUUUGUCGCGUCUGCUGUGAAAACUCGGGGCUUAACUCCGGGCCUGCAGUGGGUACGGGCAGACUAGAGUGCGGUAGGGGAGACUGGAAUUCCUGGUGUAGCGGUGAAAUGCGCAGAUAUCAGGAGGAACACCGGUGGCGAAGGCGGGUCUCUGGACAGUUCCUGACACUGAGACACGAAGGCCAGGGGAGCAAACGGG
rnacentral:rRNA from 1 species